rnacentral:rRNA from 1 species
UACGGAGGGUGCAAGCGUUAUCCGGAUUCACUGGGUUUAAAGGGUGCGUAGGCGGGCAGGCAAGUCAGUGGUGAAAUCUCCGGGCUCAACCCGGAAACUGCCGUUGAUACUAUUUGUCUUGAAUGCCGUGGAGGUAAGCGGAAUAUGUCAUGUAGCGGUGAAAUGCUUAGAUAUGACAUAGAACACCAAUUGCGAAGGCAGCUUGCUACACGGUUAUUGACGCUGAUGCACGAAAGCGUGGGGAUCAAACAGG